rnacentral:rRNA from 1 species
GGACUACACGGGUAUCUAAUCCCGUUUGCUCCCCUGGCUUUCGCGCAUCAGCGUCAGUAUCGGCCCAGUAGCCCGCCUUCGCCUCAGGUAUUCCUCCCGAUAUCUACGCAUUUCACCGCUACACCGAGAAUUCUAGCUACCUCUUCCGUACUCUAGCUCGCCAGUAUCGGCCGACUCUCCGGGGUUGAGCCCCGGGCUUUCACAGCCGACUUAACAAGCCGCCUACGCGCCCUUUACGCCCAAUAAUUCCGAACAACGCUUGCCACCUACGUAUUACCGCGGCUGCUGGCAC